AAAGGGAGCGUAGGCCGUGGAUUAAGCGUGUUGUGAAAUGCAGGUGCUCAACGUCUGCACUGCAGCGCGAACUGGUCCACUUGAGUGUGCGCAACGCAGGCGGAAUUCGUCGUGUAGCGGUGAAAUGCUUAGAUAUGACGAAGAACUCCGAUUGCGAAGGCAGCUUGCGGGAGCACAACUGACGCUGAAGCUCGAAAGUGCGGGUAUCGAACAGGAUUAGAUACCCUGGUAGUCCGCACGGUAAACGAUGGAUGCCCGUUGUCAGGCUGUUUCAGUCUGGUGACCAAGCGAAAGCAUUAAGCAUCCCACCUGGGGAGUACGCCGGCAACGGUGAAACUCAAAGGAAUUGACGGGGGCCCGCACAAGCGGAGGAACAUGUGGUUUAAUUCGAUGAUACGCGAGGAACCUUACCCGGGCUUGAAUUGCAGACGAAGGCUUCAGAGAUGAAGCGGCCUUUCGGGGCGUCUGUGAAGGUGCUGCAUGGUUGUCGUCAGCUCGUGUCGUGAG
rnacentral:rRNA from 1 species